GAUGAACGCUAGCUACAGGCUUAACACAUGCAAGUCGAGGGGCAGCAUUUCAGUUUGCUUGCAAACUGGAGAUGGCGACCGGCGCACGGGUGAGUAACACGUAUCCAACCUGCCGAUAACUCGGGGAAAGCCUUUCGAAAGAAAGAUUAAUACCCGAUGCAUUAAUUAGACCGCCAUGGUCUUAUUAUUUAAAGAAUUUUCGGUUAUCGAUGGGGAUGCGUUCCAUUAGGCAGUUGGUGAGGUAACGGCUCACCAACCCUUCGAUGGAUAGGGGUUCUGAGAGGAAGGUCCCCCACAUUGGAACUGAGACACGGUCCAAACUCCUACGGGAGGCAGCAGUGAGGAAUAUUGGUCAAUGGACGAGAGUCUGAACCAGCCAAGUAGCGUGAAGGAUGACUGCCCUAUGGGUUGUAAACUUCUUUUAUAUGGGAAUAAAGUUUUCCACGUGUGGAAUUUUGUAUGUACCAUAUGAAUAAGGAUCGGCUAACUCCGUGCCAGCAGCCGCGGUAAUACGGAGGAUCCGAGCGUUAUCCGGAUUUAUUGGGUUUAAAGGGAGCGUAGGUGGACAGUUAAGUCAGUUGUGAAAGUUUGCGGCUCAACCGUAAAAUUGCAGUUGAUACUGGCUGUCUUGAGUACAGUAGAGGUGGGCGGAAUUCGUGGUGUAGCGGUGAAAUGCUUAGAUAUCACGAAGAACUCCGAUUGCGAAGGCAGCUCACUGGACUGCAACUGACACUGAUGCUCGAAAGUGUGGGUAUCAAACAGGAUUAGAUACCCUGGUAGUCCACACAGCCAAACGAUGAAUACUCGCUGUUUGCGAUAUACAGUAAGCGGCCAAGCGAAAGCAUUAAGUAUUCCCCCUGGGGAGUACGCCGGCAACGGUGAAACUCAAAGGAAUAGACGGGGGCCCGCACACGCGGAGGAACAUGUGGUUUAAUUCGAUGAUACGCGAGGAACCUUACCCGGGCUUAAAUUGCAAAUGAAUAAUCUGGAAACAGGUUAGCCGCAAGGCAUUUGUGAAGGUGGUGCAUGGUUGUCGUCAGCUCGUGCCGUGAGGUGUCGGCUUAAGUGCCAUAACGAGCGCAACCCUCAUCUUUAGUUACUAACAGGUCAUGCUGAGGACUCUAGAGAGACUGCCGUCGUAAGAUGUGAGGAAGGUGGGGAUGACGUCAAAUCAGCACGGCCCUUACGUCCGGGGCUACACACGUGUUACAAUGGGGGGUACAGAAGGCAGCUACCUGGUGACAGGAUGCUAAUCCCAAAAGCCUCUCUCAGUUCGGAUCGAAGUCUGCAACCCGACUUCGUGAAGCUGGAUUCGCUAGUAAUCGCGCAUCAGCCAUGGCGCGGCGAAUAAAAGGCCGGGCCUUGCACU
rnacentral:rRNA from 1 species